UGUGUGUGUGUGUGUGUGUGUGUGUGUGUGUGUGUGUGUGUGUGUGUGUGUGUGUGUGUGUGUGUGUGUGUGUCUCCUGGAUAGGGGCCAGACAGGACUGGAUAGUGGAACUCUAUCAGCGUCUUCAUUCAGACGCCAUCGGCCAAUUAGUCACUUCCUCUGACCCCGUAAACACAUGUCCACCCCGCGUGGCUCCACACACGCACACACACACACACACACACACACACACACACACACACACACACACACACACACACACACACACAGUACACACACACACACACAGAGUACACACACACAUGAUAUGGAUACACAAAUUACACCCAUGCACUGAGCACACACUAUAGCUCAUCGUCGCAUGGUGAUGACCUCAUCAGUGGCGGCCUGUAACUGUGACCGGAGUCAUACUGGGUGUUUGAGCAAACAGUGGACUGGUGGAACAUUUGCAUGGGACACGUUUGGAUAGUUUGGCAGAUUUGAAUGGAAAGUGUGUUGUUUGGAUAGUCACCGCACUGGGCAUUUGAAUGGGAAGUGUCUUGCGGUCAGUCUGUCACUAGCAUCACGAGCCUCACAGCCGCUGUCUGGAGCCAGGCCGAGACAAGGCCGAUAGUCCCUGGAUUAUCCUCCUUCGGGCCCACAGUGCAGCCUCAGUGUUGGCCUCAGGGCCAGAGCUAAUGAAGGAGUUAAAGCACAAGCGCCAGACUGGACUCCUGAUAUCAGGAGAGGAUAAGUAGCAGGAGCCGGGUUUUUUCCCCCUCGGUGAACAUUAACAGUUAUGCAAACAAGCAAAUAAAACACAUUCAUCAAGUAGACUCCUGUGUUCCUUUUACACUGUGCUAUUUUAGAAGUCAAUAAAGCACUUUCACAAAGUAA